rnacentral:rRNA from 1 species
UACGGAGGGUGCGAGCGUUGUCCGGAAUCACUGGGCGUAAAGGGCGCGUAGGCGGCAGGCCAAGCGUGUGGUGAAAGCCCGGGGCUCAACCCCGGGUCGGCCAUGCGGACUGGCGUGCUCGAGCACUGUAGGGGCGGGUGGAAUUCCGGGUGUAGCGGUGGAAUGCGUAGAGAUCCGGAAGAACACCGGUGGCGAAGGCGGCUUCCUGGACCGACACUGACGCUGAGGCGCGAAAGCUAGGGGAGCAAACGGG